rnacentral:rRNA from 1 species
CCAAGGAGUAUAKCGUGUGCGCGAGUCAUUGGGUGAAAAACCUAAAGGCGCAAUGAAAGUGUCAGUGGAGGGCAUCCCCCGGGAUGUCCCUCCCGCAGGGAGGAUGGGUUGCCCGGCGUCCCCUCGCCGGCCCCCCGCACUCCCGGGGCGUCUCGUUCUCACUGCGAGUGGAGACGCACCAGGAGCGCACACGCUGGUACCCGAAAGAUGGUGAACUAUGCCUGGCCAGGACGAAGCCAGGGGAAACCCUGGUGGAGGUCCGAAGCGAUUCUGACGUGCAAAUCGAUCGUCUGAGCUGGGUAUAGGGGCGAAAGACCAAUCGAACCAUCUAGUAGCUGGUUCCCUCUGAAGUUUCCCUCAGGAUAGCUGGCUCUCGGGAUGAGACGAGUCUCAUCCGGUAGAGCGAAUGAUUAGAGGUGAUGGGGUCGAAACGACUUCAACCUAUUCUCAAACUCCCAAUAGAUGAGAGCCCCGGCUUGCUUGAAAGUGAAGCCGCGGGACUCGGAUCAGAGAUGCCAAGUGGGCCAAUUU